UACGUAGGGGGCAAGCGUUGUCCGGAAUCAUUGGGCGUAAAGAGCGCGUAGGCGGCCAGAUAAGUCCGGUGUGAAAGUCACAGGCUCAACCUGUGAAUGCCGCUGGGAUACUGUCUGGCUUGAGUCCGGAAGGGGCGAGUGGAAUUCCUGGUGUAGCGGUGAAAUGCGCAGAUAUCAGGAGGAACACCAAUAGCGAAGGCAGCUCGCUGGGACGGUAUUGACGCUAAGGCGCGAAAGCGUGGGGAGCAAACAGG
rnacentral:rRNA from 1 species